rnacentral:rRNA from 1 species
UACGAAGGGGGGCUAGCGUUGCUCGGAAUCACUGGGCGUAAAGGGUGCGUAGGCGGGUCUUUUAAGUCAGGGGUGAAAUCUUGGAGCUCAACUCCAGAACUGCCUUUGAUACUGAAGAUCUUGAGUUCGGGAGAGGUGAGUGGAACUGCGAGUGUAGAGGUGAAAUUCGUAGAUAUUCGCAAGAACACCAGUGGCGAAGGCGGCUCACUGGCCCGAUACUGACGCUGAGGCACGAAAGCGUGGGGAGCAAACAGG